rnacentral:rRNA from 1 species
AUUGAACGCUGGCGGCAUGCUUUACACAUGCAAGUCGAACGGCAGCGCGGGCUUCGGCCUGGCGGCGAGUGGCGAACGGGUGAGUAAUACAUCUGAACAUGCCCAGUAGGGGUGGGUAGCACGGCGAAAGCCGGGUUAAUACCGCAGGCUAGCUGAGGGUGAAAGCGGGGGGGCGUCGGACCGCUCGGGCGGGUGGGGGCCGAUGGCAGAUUAGUUAGUUGGUGGGGUAAACGCCUACCAAGCCGAGGAUCUGUAGGUGGUCGGAGUGGACGGCACGCCACACUGGGACUGAGACACCGACCAGACUCCUACGGGACGCAGCAGUGGGGAAUUUUAGGCAAUGGGCGAAAGCCUGAUCCAGCAAUGCCGCGUGUGUGAUGAAGGCCUUCCGGUUGUAAAGCACUUUUGGCGGGAACGAAAAGGACUGUGCCAAUACCACGGUUCGAUGACGGUACCCGCAGAAUAAGCACCGGCUAACUACGUG